rnacentral:rRNA from 1 species
AAAGAUUUCUUCGGAAUGAAUUUGAUUAAGUUUAGUGGCGGACGGGUGAGUAACGCGUGAGUAACCUGCCUCUAAGAGGGGAAUAACAUUCUGAAAAGAAUGCUAAUACCGCAUAACAUAUAUUUAUCGCAUGGUAGAUAUAUCAAAGAUUUAUCGCUUAGAGAUGGACUCGCGUCCGAUUAGUUAGUUGGUGAGGUAACGGCUCACCAAGACUGCGAUCGGUAGCCGGACUGAGAGGUUGAACGGCCACAUUGGGACUGAGACACGGCCCAGACUCCUACGGGAGGCAGCAGUGGGGGAUAUUGCGCAAUGGGGGAAACCCUGACGCAGCAACGCCGCGUGAAGGAUGAAGGUCUUCGGAUUGUAAACUUCUUUUAUUAAGGACGAAGAAAGUGACGGUACUUAAUGAAUAAGCUCCGGCUAACUACGUGCCAGCAGCCGCGGUAAUACGUAGGGAGCAAGCGUUGUCCGGAUUUACUGGGUGUAAAGGGUGCGUAGGCGGCUUUGCAAGUCAGAUGUGAAAUCUAUGGGCUCAACCCAUAGCC